GGGCCUGCACAAGCGGUGGAGUAUGUGGCUUAAUUCGAUGCAACGCGAAGAACCUUACCUGGCCUUGACAUGCAUCUCUAAGCGUGUGAAAGCACGUGACCCUUCGGGGAAUUUGCACAGGUGCUGCAUGGCUGUCGUCAGCUCGUGUCGUGAGAUGUUGGUUAAGUCCCGCAACGAGCGCAACCCUUGUGUCCUGUUGCCACUUCCGCUAGCGCGGAAAGCACUCUGGACAGACUGCCUCGUCUCAACGAGGAGGAAGGUGGGGAUGACGUCAAGUCAGUAUGGCCCUUACGGCCAGGGCUGCACACGUACUACAAUGCUACGGACAAAGGGCAGCAAGUUCGCGAGGACAAGCAAA
rnacentral:rRNA from 1 species